AUAAACAAGAUGUGAAGAGGUUGCAAGACACAGAAGAUGUGAUUAUCUUGAAGAGAAGAGGGUCUGUAGGCUGGAGAGUUAAUCAGAAUCAAGUUGUGAUGGCAGAAAAGAAGCCUGGGGCUUAAAAACCCAGGAAGAUUACAAAUGAAAUACAAAUUAAAUGUAUACAGCUGUAAAUGGCAUAAAGAUCACUCUAUACUACUGUGUAAUAAUGAUCUCUAGGAUAUAUUAAGUGAAGAAAGUAGGAUGCAGAAGAGUGUGUAUACUUUGCUAUCUUUCUUUGUGUUGGGAAGUAGGGGAGAGAAUAUUUACACGUAUAAAUAUAUGUAUACACAAAUUUGCUUAUCUACAACAGAAAAAAAUAGUUACCUACGGAGGGAGGGAAAAAAUAAGAGGAGGGUAAAAGAAUAAAAGCUAGGACCUGUCUGAAUUUGCUAUUUCACAACAUUGGUCUUAGAACCACGUAGACAUUUCACGUUUGUUUAAUCAAAACAAAAUCAAGCAAGCAAACAAAAACCCAAAGGAAUCCCUAAAAAUGUAAAACAAACUGAAAAAAAAAAGCCCACCUACCUACCUAAUUGGUUGAAGCUGGUGGCAUGACCAAAUAAAGAAAACUAUUUUAAGUGCUUUUACAAUACAGUAUUUUCACUGCAUAAUCAUAAUAAUAUGCUAAGGACAAAAAGAACCACAAAGACAUCUUAAAUUACACUCAGCAGGACUGUUAUUAGUGAUCAUGUUGGUCAUCUUAUUUUGAAAAUGUUAUAUAUGUAGAAAGACAAAGUAAAUAAAUGAUUAUGUUAAUGUUAGGAACCAAAAUAUCAACAUUAAUAAGAAAUACAAAUUUAAAAAAUCCAAGAAAAAGUGAAAGUAUUAGUAUAAACUCAUGAUUUUUCUUUCUAAAAAAAAAUACGUACUUCCUACUUUUGUCCACUAAAAAAGGCUGAGAAGAAGUGACAACCCAGUAGAAAUAAACAUACCUAGUCCCCAGAUUUGUAGUCUCUAAAUACCAUCAUCACCUUAAAAGGAAAUAAAGGCUUCUUGGGUGGGAAGUUAGGUUCUAGGUUUUGGGAAGGAAAUGUGUAAGGUGGGCCUGGGACAUUCCUCUGUGCCAGAAAACAAGGAAGUUUAAUUGUAUUGACUUGUUAAAAUGAAACAGGCCAUGUUGAUACAACAACUUGAAUCUACAGAAGUGUUAAUUUGAAUAUUAAACUGAAUAAUGACUGCAAUAGACUAAAACACAUGCCACUUCUUUUACAACACCUGAGCUCCUAAUGACAUUCCAAAAAUAAAAACAAAUACAAAAAUUAGAGGCCACUAGGGGCAUGAACUCAUCAUUCUAAAAAUUAAUAAAGAAGGAAGGAAACAGAAUUUUUCCUGCCUUUACUUGACUGACUGUAUUUAAAGGUAGCCAAGGGGCUGGAGCCUGCCUCCGGGUCCAGAUCUCAUUGCCGUGCCCUGUGAUGCCCACCCAAUGUGAGUUCCUGAUUCCUUCUGGUUCCAAGUCCAAUAUGGAAACUCUCAAGGAUCAGCCAAUUCAUAAUCUUCUAAAGGAUGAACAGACCCCCCAGAAUAAGAUUACAGUUGUUGGGGUUGGUGCUGUUGGCAUGGCCUGUGCCAUCAGUAUCUUAAUGAAGGACUUGGCAGGUAAACUUGCUCUUGUUGAUGUCAUGGAAGACAAACGGAAGGGUGAGAUGAUGAAUCUCUAACAUGGCAGCCUUUUCCUUAGAACACCAAAGAUUAUCUCUGGCAAAGACUAUAAUGUAACUGCAAACUCCAAGCUGGUCAUACCAUCUUGCUGGGGCACGUCAGCAAGAGGGAGAAAGCCAUCUUAAUUUGAUCUAGCAUAACGUGAACAUCUUUAAAUUCAUCAUUCCUAAUGUUGUAAAAUACAGCCUGAACUGCACGUUGCUUAUUGUUUCAAAUCCAGUUGGUAUCUUGACCUAUAUGACUUGGAAGAUAAACGGCUUUCCCAAAAACCGUGUCACUGGAAGUGGCUGCAAUCUGGAUUCAGCCCGAUUCCGUUACCUGAUGGGGUAAGGGCUGGAGAUCACCCAUUAAGCUGUCAUGGGUGGGUCCUUGGGGAUCAUGGAGAUUCCAGUGUGCCUGUAUGGAGUGGAGUGAAAGUUGCUGGUGUCUCCCUGAAGACUCUGCACCCAGAUUUAGGGACUGAUACAGAUAAGGAACAGUGGAAAGACGUUCAUAAGCAGGUGGUUAAGAGUGCUUAGGAGGUGAUCAAACUCAAAGGCUAUAUAUCCUGGGCCACUGGACUCUCUGUGGCAGAUUUGCCAGAGAGUAUAAUGAAGAAUCUUAGGCGGGUGCAUCCAAUUCCACCAUAAGGGUCUCCAUGAUACAAAGGCUGAUGCCUUCUUUAGGGUUCCUUGUAUCUUGGGACAGAAUGGAAUCUCAGACCUUGUGAAGGUGACUCUGACUCCCAAGGAGGAGGCCCGUUUGAAGAAGAGUACAGAUAUGCUUAGGGGAUCCAAAAAGAGCUGCAAUUUUAAAGUCUUCUGAUGGCAUACCAUUUUACUGACUAGGCUACAACAGAAUGUUAGCUGGAGGUUGUGCAUGUUGUCCUUUUUAUCUGAUCUGUGAUUAAAGCAGUAAUGUUAAGAUGGACUGGAAAAAACAUCAAUUCCUAAAGUCAGAAAUAGAAAUGGUCUGUAAAAUCCUACAGCUAUAUCCUGAUGCUGGAUGGUGCUACUGUUGAGUAGUCCUAAAAUGGUUAGUGUGAAAUAGUUCUGCCACCUCUGAGGCACCACUGCCGAUGCUGCACAUGUUGCGGUUGCCCCUUGAACCAGACAGAUGUUUACCAUGUGUUAUAUAACUUCCUGGCUCCUUCACUGAACAUGCCUAGUUCAACUUGUUUUCCCCAAUCAGUAACAUCCUGGGAUCCAGUGUAUAAAUCUAAUAUUGCAUGUCUUGUGCAUAAUUAUUCCAAAGGAUCUUAUUUUGUGAACUAUAUCAGCAGUGUUCAUUACCAUAUAAUGUCAAAAGAUCUACAUAUAAACAACGUAACCAACUAUCCAAGUGUCAUACCAACUAAAACUCCCAAUAAACCUUGAACAGUG